rnacentral:rRNA from 1 species
CCUACGGGAGGCAGCAGUGAGGAAUAUUGGUCAAUGGACGAGAGUCUGAACCAGCCAAGCAGCGUGAAGGAUGACUGCUCUAUGGGCUGUAAACCUCUUUGAUGUGGGAAUAAAACGUUCCACGUGUGGGAUUUUGUAUGUACCAUAAGAAUAAGGAUCGGCUAACUCCGUGCCAGCAGCCGCGGUAAUACGGAGGAUCCGAGCGUUAUGCGGAUUGAUUGGGUUUAAAGGGAGCGUAGGCGGAUUGUUAAGUCAGUUGUGAAAGUUUGCGGCUCAACCGUAAAAUUGCAGUUGAAACUGGCAGUCUUGAGUACAGUAGAGGUAGGCGGAAUUCGUGGUGUAGCGGUGAAAUGCGUAGAUAUCACGAAGAACUCCGGUUGCGAAGGCAGUUCACUGGACUGCAACUGACGCUGAGGCUCGAAAGUGUGGGUAGCAAACAGGAUUAGAUACCCUGGUAGUC